UAUAUUUAUAUAUUUAUAUACGUAUGUAUCAUUACUAAUCUUCUACUUAUCUCUAAGCUUCCACAUCCUCGCGAAUCGCAUUUCAUACAUACUUCAUCUUCUACCAGAUCUCCCCUCGAACGAGGAGACCUAUUGUGUGUUCCUAGGUUCAUUUUUCUGUUUCAAUUUAUAAGUAACUGGCUAAACUCCUCUCUCCUGUUAAAUAUACAGACAAAUAACUCGGGAUUCGAGGAAUUGAAAUGAAAUAAUGCAUGAAACAUCGUUACAUCUCCCGCGACACUCCGUUAAACAACGCAAAAGAAUCACGCGAAGCCUAUUAAUCGAAUAACGUUCUUCUCGCACGACCCCCGUUUAUAACAAUGCCGGACAAACGAAUUCAUUUACACCGAGUCGAAAGUCGCUCUAAAUCGACCACAUUCGAUCGCGUCAUUGUCUUGGAUGGAAUCCGUUCCUUAUUGGCUUAAACAACAUGAACGUCACGAGCUUCUUGAACACGUUUAUACAAAUCUUGGUUUUUUUUUUACUUAUUUUCCUUUUAUUAAAGCAUCAACGCUCGAUAAUAAUAUUGUAAGCUUAUUAGACUUCUGACUUUUUUUUUGAACACCGAGCUACCGCUACACCUCUCAUUCUCUCCCUCUCUCCCGCUCUCGUUUGCUCACACAUUUAUACAUCCAUACAUGCAUACGCAUACACUCAUUUUCUCUCUCUCUCUCUCUCUCUUCCGUUCUCUCUCCCUCUCUCUCUCUCUCAUUCUUGAAAAAUAUUUCGUGGUGCACGAUAUCGCCCUGUUUUUCAUGCAUUACUUGAUUCCAACGUUUAGUACAAUUCUACGAUCUUAAUAUCGCGAGUGUCUCCCAACUAGUGUGUCGUCAACAUGAUUAUUUAAAACUCGCUAAUAAGGUGAACAUCCUUACACGUCUGCCUCUCUUACGUCUUUGUCUUUUCGUCGCGUGUCACGUGUGCACGCACGUGUUUUGUGUAUAUAACCGUGUCCGAGUCUGUGUGCAAGGGGGACCACCUUCCUAUCGUUAAUGAAUACCGUUUUGUGCGUCUUCUAACGAUUAACCAUCACAAUGACCAACGGUGCCUAGUUUACAAUUAAUAUCUUUGGUAUCAUGCCUGAGUCUUCCGUUUACGAAAAAAAUCACUAAACAAUUAUUCAUAGAAUCUUGUUUGGGUUACGGUCACGAGUUGCCGUUUGUCGUAUCAAACUUAGAAAAGGAUUCGUCCUUCGCGCGACGCGAAACAAGCGAUUAGAAAUGCUACUUAUAGCUCCCGAGGGAUAAUUAAGUGUACGACAAGGAAUGUCGGAUUGAUUAUAUGGCAGCUUCGAACCACGUGGAAAAUAUGACCACGGGAAAUGAUGUUCCUGCUAUCGCUAUUUGUUUCAAGCACAAAAUAUCGGUUUUUAUCUUAAAGUCUACGCCUCAUGGCAGUUUGGAUAAUUUCCACCUUUAUUCAGCGCGUUGACAGUCAAUGAAAUACCUAUGGGUAUACUCACGUCAUUUUCUUUUUCUUAUGAAUUCGUGCUGAUUCACGAGGACUAUAUUCGAUUAUGCUACUAAUAGAGUCAACAAUUCGCUUUGUGAUAAACUUUCGUUAGUUCUUUAGAGCGAAGUGUAAUAAAGAAUAAUUUGUGCUUGGAACGGUGAUCACUUAAGUGAUAAUAAAAAGGUUUGAUCCAAAUUUUUACGAAAGAAAAAUCUCUCGUCCACGUCGAUCGUAAAAACUUCUAAAAAAAAAAAUAAAAUAAAUAAAUGCAUUGUGAGACUCGCCCUUAGGGGAUCCUUUCAGUCUUAUUUUAGGGAUAAUUUUUCGGCGAGCUCUCGGGAUGUAUUUCAAUAUGGAAUUGAUAAAUUGAACAAGUUAAUGAUUAAUUUAAAAAAAAAAGAGUGAUAAUAGAAUCUAUAAAAGUUUACAACCUGUAGUAUGUAUCCGUGUAUUUGUGUGCGUGUCGAAGAGUUUGGGUUCGAUUGUUCACGAAAAUUCCACGAUCGGUGAAAGACAGUCUGCUGGAAUGUAGUUUCUUUGUUUUUUUUUUUUUUCGCGACGCCGUAGAAUUGCGGGAGACAGAGAUGUCAGAAAUCAAUGAUAUAUGCGCGUCACGGUGACGCGCAAUUACUGUACGCGUAAAAUGGAUACAAAAAACCGUAGAAAAAAUAUUUACAAAGCGCAACGACGAAUUCUUGUGAACAAAAGACCGUGAGAUUCCAUCACCACGUGCGUCCGUGUCUCGUCUCUUCAGAUCCGUCGAGAGAGCCCGAUGAGUGAGAAAAGCCCUCCCCACGUUUCUCUUACCCCUUCCGACGCUCAGAGAGCGUCUCGCGUCAUAUAGAAUAUAUCACAUACAUGUUUACUUCUCUAAACACACUGAAAUAAGAAGCACUUUAAGAUAGAUGUCUACAUACACCAUCGGGCCCAGGCGUUGAGAACGCGCGUCUCCGAAGCAUACACAGAACUAGAACCGACAUUCGCAUACAAGAAACUAGAAAGUAAUAUCGUCUUGAAUGACUAUUUUAACAUAUCCAAUGGACAGCAACAACGUAAUUGUCUGCUGCACGGAUACAUUAAUUAACACAUCCUUAAUGCAAUAUAGCAAUCUCCACGAUUUUAUGCAUAAUUUAAAUUUUUGCAUAAUGUGUUAUGCAACAAAAAUCACUGGAUAAAAUUCAUAUUUAUAUCGAAAUAUUAAAAUGUAUAAAUUACAUUAAA